AUAAUUGUAACACACGUGAAUCUAGGCUAGAUGUUUAAGGACUUAGAGUUAUAAUUAUUCAUAAUUAAAAUCCUUAAUGAUAAUUAUAUAAAUGAAUUUAUAUAAUUAUAAACGAAUAAAUAAUAUUUGAAUAAAUAUUAUAUUUAUAUAACAUUUUAAUCUAAGGGCUUAUUUGAUAGACCUUUUAUUGGUCCAGCAAGAGGUGAGAUCUGACUCGGUCCGCCCGUUUGAUAAUGAUAUUUUGAGCUUUUGACCGAGGAAAAAGAGUCCGGCCGAAUCAGCCAAAUACAAUCGCUGAUUGAAUUAAUUUCCACGAAAACCCUCCUUUGCCUAGAACGAACAUGGUUUGAGCAACACCCUUCCUUGAACGACAUUCUCUUUAGCGACUUCUGCUUCUUUGCCGGCCUAUGCAUCGCUGGCUUCUGCCCUAUCAGAAUCAACUUCGCUGGAUUUUGCCUCUCCAGCAUCGGUUCUUCAAAGCUUUUGAUUUCUCAAAGGGUUUGAACCAGAAGUAAGUGGGCGGGAGAACACAUAAAUCAUUGGAGAAUUAACAUCAUUUGGGGAAAAAAUCGCAAAGUUGUAGCCUUUGGUGAAUUGUAGUGAAUAUUUAACUCAGAAAAAAUCACCCAUAUAAAUUGUCCAGUUUUAGAAUUUCAGUUUUCAUGUCAUUAUGUGUAUGUCGUUUGGUUUGUGAAUCUAUUGGGUAUGUAUGCAAUUAUUUUUUUAAAAUAAAGACUAGAAACAUGAAAAAAAUUUAAUUUUUGAGCUGAAAGUUUUAGCAAUUUGUAUUUUGUA